GAAUUUUGCCCAAUGGACGAAAGUCUGAGGCAGCAACUCCGCGUGAGGGACGAAGGCCUUCGGGUCGUAAACCUCUUUUCUCAGGGAAGAUACAAGACGGUACCUGAGGAAUAAGCCACGGCUAACUACGUGCCAGCAGCCGCGGUAAUACGUAGGUGGCGAGCGUUGUCCGGAUUUACUGGGCGUAAAGAGCGCGCAGGCGGCUGGUCAAGUCCGAUGUGAAAGCUCCCGGCUUAACUGGGAAAUUGCAUCGGAAACUGAUCGGCUGGAAGGUGGGAGAGGGUAGCGGAAUUCCCGGUGUAGUGGUGAAAUGCGUAGAUAUCGGGAGGAACACCAGUGGCGAAAGCGGCUACCUGGCCCAUUCUUGACGCUGAGGCGCGAAAGCUAGGGGAGCAAACGGG
rnacentral:rRNA from 1 species